rnacentral:lncRNA from 1 species
UUGUGCCGGAGGAACAUGUCAGAAGAUUGGACGUCGGGCCGGUGGAUCGGUCGACGUAUCGACAGAAGGCUUCGGGCUGUGGACUCGGGCAUCGGGCCAAGAAGAGCGGGUAUUGUGCCAAGGAUAUCAGAGUUGCGGAGUCAACUGGCCGAUUGGGCAAUAGACUGCAGGAAAGGACGAUGCGCCGAAGAAUCGGACGAAGCGUCGAGGGACCAAUGACAUGCCGGACAACUUGAUUAAUUGCUUAGGAUUAAUUGUCUCGAUCGAAGUGUUUGUUUUAAGUGUGCAGGAUUAACUACGAUGAAAGAUAGACAAGCAGCAGGAGUUGCGCCGGAGUCAAGUUCAUGAUCACGUUGGGAGUUCGAGAGUUCGACGGAAGUUCGGACGGUCGUCGGAGGUUCUGCGAGAACAGAUCCGAGAAGUCCAGAAGCUUGCCAAGCGAACCUCGUCGGAACUUGCCAAAUGGAUC